rnacentral:lncRNA from 1 species
UUUAACUCAGAGCAACUGAAUAUCCAGCAAGUUAAGAGGUGUAUAGCAUAUUAAAGUCUAUAAAUACCUGUUCAGAGUGCAGUUUAGAAGGAGAAAAGCAUGUUCUGGGCUCUUGAUUUUUACCCUGAAGACUCUUCUCUCCAGAAGAUAGUCUUAAGCUCGGGCUCUUUUGUAUUCAUAAGCCUUCUUCUGCCAUUCAAGCUCCCCAGUAGCUUUCUGAUUUGUUUCCAAGCACAGUAGGUCUAGCAAGACAAGUAACCUCUAACAGCUCCCUGUGUAAAAGUGGCCCUGCCACUGUAAUUCAAGUAUCUUUUAUACCUUCCUGUCUAGAGGUGACUUACCUGCCCCACCAGUCUUUCCCAAUUACCACUGAAUCAUUCCAUUGGCUGCAAGUGCACUUCCACUCUGGGCUGGUUUCUAUGACAAACAGGGCAGGCUGGAAUGCUACUGAUAAGGAAUAGCACUACAGAAAACACACGCUUGUAUUGUACGCUGUAUGGAAGUGUUGAUGAGAAAUGUUUAUUUGUUUGUCUUCUCAGGCCUGGGCAAUACCUUCUGCUUUCUGGACACCCAUCAUCACAUCUCCUUAUUUUACUGGCAUCAAUAGCCUUUGUCAUCUCAUCCAGGACUGCAGGUGAAGUGAUGAAAUUUUCUAAAGGGAGUCCACAGACUCGGAAAGGAUCACACUGAUAAACCUUCUCAGCAAUCUCCAAGAUCAAGCAUAUCCCUCAGCUCUCUACCUAUUUCUCUGUCGUGCUCUCCCCACACCCUUGAGUGGCAGUGCAUGAUAUGCUGCUUUUUUUCUUAGAGCCAAAGGUCUGUUCCUGGAAGCUGCUAAGUAUCUUAAUUCUCCACUGAGCUCAGUGUAAGUAGAAGCUGUGUAGCAUAGAAUUAGGCUUAAAGAAAAUAAGUAUGAAAAGUCUGGUGUACUUUCUCAGUCCUCCAUGCCAUGUGUUAGACACUUCUGGGAAGUGUGUCUCUACUGCUGAAAAGACUGGUCCAUGACUUCAGUACUGGGCAUACUGGCUAGGCUAAAGGGCUGCUUUAUUAGCACUGUCUAGCACCUCAUGGGCUCUGCUCUACUUCUUUCUACAGAUAAAACUGUAAAGUAAACACAAAAGUUUAAAAGCUCUAGAACCAGAUUCUGCACUUUUUCUUCAGUGACUGGUAAAAGAUGUGGAUAAUAUCCAAAGGUAACUUUCAGGGUUGUAAUUUAGAUUAAAACUAAUACUUCAAAUGAAUACUCAAAUGCAUAACUGAUACAUGAAUGACUAAUCCCAUUAACUUCUUUACACUUUUUAUGGAAGAAAAGUUAUAUACUGAGAGAUCUGGUAUUUCUGAUAGGAGGGGAGAAACAUGGGGCUUUGGUUUCUCAAAAGCGAAGAAAGAUUUCUCUCUGUCUUGCUUUUUUGAUACCUUCUGUAAUUAAGAAUUCAGCAAA